rnacentral:rRNA from 1 species
GACGAACGCUGGCGGCGUGCUUAACACAUGCAAGUUGAACGGUGACCUCGAGAGCUUGCUCUUGGGUGAACAGUGGCGAACGGGUGAGUAACACGUGAGUAACCUGCCCCUGACUCUGGAAUAAGCGCUGGAAACGGCGUCUAAUACCGGAUAUGACACACCCUCGCAUGGGGAGUGUGUGGAAAGUUUUUCGGUCUGGGAUGGACUCGCGGCCUAUCAGCUUGUUGGUGAGGUAAUGGCUCACCAAGGCGAUGACGGGUAGCCGGCCUGAGAGGGCGACCGGCCACACUGGGACUGAGACACGGCCCAGACGCCGACGGGAGGCAGCAGUGGGGAAUAUUGCACAAUGGGCGCAAGCCUGAUGCAGCGACGCCGCGUGAGGGAUGACGGCCUUCGGGUUGUAAACCUCUUUCAGCAGGGAAGAAGCGCAAGUGACGGUACCUGCAGAAGAAGCACCGGCUAACUACGUGCCAGCCGCCGCCGUAACAC